rnacentral:rRNA from 1 species
GUGAGGAAUUUUGCGCAAUGGGGGCAACCCUGACGCAGCGACGCCGCGUGGAGGACGAAGUCUUUCGGGAUGUAAACUCCUGUCAGUGGGGACGAUAAUGACGGUACCCACAGAGGAAGCACCGGCUAACUCCGUGCCAGCAGCCGCGGUAAGACGGAGGGUGCAAGCGUUGUUCGGAAUUACUGGGCGUAAAGCGUAUGUAGGCGGCAAGUUAAGUUCAAUGUUAAAGCCCACGGCUCAACUGAGGAGAUGCAUUGAAUACUGGCUAGCUAGAGGGUGUUAGAGGAAGACGGAAUUCCCAGUGUAGCGGUGAAAUGCGUAGAUAUUGGGAGGAACAUCGGUAGCGAAAGCGGUCUUCUGGGACAUACCUGACGCUGAGGUACGAAAGCGUGGGGAGCAAACGGGAUUAGAUACCCCUGUAGUCC